rnacentral:tRNA from 1 species
GUGGGUCUCGUACAAUGGCAGUACGCCGGCGUGCCAAGCCGGGAACACGGGUUCGAUUCCCGUGACUCACUCCA